rnacentral:rRNA from 1 species
CCAGGGAAACUUGGAUUAAUACCCCGUAACAUUAUGAAGUGGCAUCACUUUAUAAUUAUAGCUCCGGCGUUUAAAGAUGGGUGUGCGGCUGAUUAGGUAGUUGGCGGGGUAACGGCCCACCAAGCCUGCGAUCAGUAACUGGUGUGAGAGCACGACCAGUCACACGGGCACUGAGACACGGGCCCGACUCCUACGGGAGGCAGCAGUAAGGAAUAUUGGGCAAUGGACGCAAGUCUGACCCAGCCAUGCCGCGUGGAGGAUGAAGGCCCUCUGGGUUGUAAACUUCUUUUCUCUGGGGCGAAAAACAGGUUUUCUAACUUGCUUGACAGUACCAGAGGAAUAAGCACCGGCUAACUCCGUGCCAGCAGCCGCGGUAAUACGGAGGGUGCAAGCGUUAUCCGGAUUCACUGGGUUUAAAGGGUGCGUAGGUGGGGAGGUAAGUCAGCGGUGAAAUCCCCGAGCUUAACUUGGGAACUGCCAUUGAUACUAUCUCUCUUGAAUACCUUGGAGGUGAGCGGAAUAUGUCAUGUAGCGGUGAAAUGCUUAGAUAUGACAUAGAACACCAAUUGCGAAGGCAGCUCACUACACGGUCAUUGACACUGAGGCACGAAAGCGUGGGGAUCAAACAGGAUUAGAUACCCUGGUAGUCCACGCCCUAAACGAUGGAUACUCGACAUCAGCGAUACACUGUUGGUGUCUGAGCGAAAGCAUUAAGUUCCCACC